CACUCACCGGAACAGAACGGAAUUGUACCAGGAUGUAAACAUGUUAAAUAUUGCUGUCAAGUUGGGCUUUUUGGCAUUUGCUCCUUUUUGGAACCUUUUUGAACCAGCCUCAAGUGGCCACUCGAUGAACUGCAAUAUUUUGUACUUCCACAUGGGCUUCAUGGUUAAGACGCAGAGGUAACGUAGCCUGACGUGCAGCUCAUUGAUACAGUUCAUUGAUACAAAUGUUUGUCUUGUGUUCUGCGAAAUUUUGGUAAAAGUUUCAGUCUGCAAUGAUGAAAGUGAAGCAGAAAAAUAGCAGUGGCAAAACACGCAGCGCCCACUAGCGUUUGGGAGGCUCUUUUACAGAGUAAGCCAGAUUGACGAACAUAACUGAGUGUAAAGCUUAGGCUACAUGCGUAGGAUAUGCUGUCUGUACUGCAGUACAUUAAAUAAGCCUAUAGAGUUAGGGAAAUAUUAAGAGCCAAUGCAAAAAGAAACAGGGUCUUGAUCUUCACUGACUCUCCUACUGCCUGUGUUCCCAUCCCAGGAGAAGACAAAAGUCAUAGUUUUUGUGUAUUGAAUUGCAGGGUGAUGAAUUCUCCUUUCUUCGUGCCAAAGUUGGGGAUUUAAGGGAAAGGGAAGUGGGUGAGAGUUGUGUGUGCGGUGGUGGUAGUGGUGGUGGUGGGAGGGGUUGUUGUGUUGGGGCUGUGUUGUACGCAUCAUUUCAUGGGUGACAGAAAAUGGAGAGCCCCCAGUGGGUGCCUCCUUCUGCUCAGAGAAGCCAGAGGAGAAAGACUUUAGGGACUGAGAGAGAGUGAGAGAAGGGUUGGUGGUGGGGAGGCGGGGGGCUCGGCCAUCACAUGGGAUAGAUCAAACCACAGCUGGCUGAUUUCAUUCGUCCCUCGCCUCCCACUCUACACACAUCCACCCCUCCGUCUCCUUGAAACACCUCCCUCCAUUUCUCUCUCUUCUUUCAGAGGCGCUGUGGAACACAGGAGAUCAUAAUUUCUUCAGCAUUCAGCCUGUUGAUCAUUCGUAAUGAAAACUUUAGGAUUAGGACUUUUACACAUUCUUUUACCAGCACCUCCAGCUGUGAUCUAAAACUCUAUGAUCUCAACCACUUGGCUAUUAUAUAAUCUAGGGUGGUUGCGUGUAUAAAGGCCAACCGGGAUAGCUAUCUAUUUGGGAUUUUAACAACUGUGCUUGACCUCAGAUUCCUUUCGGAGGCCUUUCUCACCGUGUGCCUUUUCCUCUGUUUAAUUGCAGAAACAAUUGGGCAGAGCAGCACUUUGGGCUAAAUGCUAAUGCCAGCAUGUAAAGUGACGAACGUGCCGAUGUUUAGCGAGUGUGGCAUUUAACCGGUGCCUUGUUAACAUUUUAGUAUUUCAUAUUCUUCACAGUGUUUCGUCAGUGUUGCAAAACAUUUUUUAAAUGAAAAAAAAAAAGGCAAAUUCUAAAUUUGUCCAAAUUUGGAGAACACUGUGGAACUGCCAAAGUUGCAGUAGGAAAAGUCUGGGUGCUCACAUUGUAGGAUUCAUCCUCGAAGGACUGUAAAUACGCAUGUGCUAACAUGUAUUGCAGUCCAUCUAACAGCUUUUGAGAUAUUUUAUCUUAUCCAAACUGGACUCAGUGUCUGCCAGUAAAUUCUAAGAGCUUUCGGUACUUGUCGCUGAAAGAAAAGAACUUAUUAUUAUGUGUAGUGACUCCUUGAAAUUGAGUGUUUGCACCUUAAGAACUGCCAGAAUUCUUGAACUUUUGAGUUUUGCAUACCCCUGCAAGAUGUCUUCCUCCUUUCUGACAGCGUAACUCUUUUUCAUCGCAAACACUUUCUUAAGAUACUGCCGUUCCUGAUAUUUAGCAGCUAUCAAUUGCCUUUUGUCUAAACUUCAUGUUAAGAUAUGAACUCAAGAGCGAAAAUACUGGAGGCAGAAAGUCCACAUGACCACCAUAGCUAUAUUUCAAUCAGCGCUGUUACCCCCACCUCCUACGCUUCCUGCUACGUGCUCUCCUUUUUUUUUUUUUUUUUUUUCCAUGCAGAGAAGGCGGAGGACGUAGAGAGAUCAGACCACACAUACAGAUCCAGGCCUCCACCCUCCACCCCCAGCCUCCAGUUCCCCCGCCAUCUGUGCACGUCCCUCUGCCUGCAACUCCACAACAACAAGGCCCUGAACCUCCGCAGAGGAGUCAAUCCAUCACGGGCGAAAGAGAGAAAAGAGACGGAGAAAGGAAGUAAAAGGAUGGAAAGGAUGGACGGGGGCGGAGGGGUGGGUGUUGGAAAAAGGCGAGCCCUGCUGUCUGGCUAGCUGGCUCGCUGCCUUCCUGGCUCAUCAACACCGGUCGGACGGACAGACGAUGAUGAUGAUGACAGUCAUCAGGGAUGUAGCAGCCUCCAUUCGACAGUAGGAGCGAGAGGAGCAGGUGCAGAAAAUUGGGAACAAAGAGGAAGGACUGAGUGGAGAGAUAGAUCAAGAGAGAGGAUAACAAAGAGACAGUUAUACUGUAUCUACCUGGCCAGGUAUGGGGUCCAGGUUAUGUUGGAUUCAAAUCGAAGGCAUAAAGAAGCAGCAAAGUUAACAUGUUCAUAGUGCGCAAAUUCUUUAACAUCAUAAAUGGUUUUUAACGCACAAUUAACGCACGCACAUUAUUAUGACUUCAGGAUCGUUUGGAAAAUCAUGAAGUAACGGGGUGGAAAGCAAGUAGAAUCUUAAGUGCUGUUGUAGUAAAUAAUUCUAAAAGAAAAAAAAGCAAGAAGAAACUGAUUGACCCUUGGGUCUUUCAAACAGCAAGUUAACUCAGAGCCCUGCCAGAUGCUUCUCGCAACAAGAACAAAAGUUAUCAGCAUUCGCUCGCACAUGAACUGCAACGUUGUGACCAGAGCGAAGAUGCUAAGAUGUCGGUGAGAGUAAUCCAAACUUCAAAAUAUCCCUCUCAGUUACAAAUAAGUUAUAUCUGCAUUAACGCAGGUUAAUUAGCUAAAUUAUAGAUUAAUCGCAAUAAAAUAUUUAAAUCUA